GUCAUGCUCAAAGCAGAGUCAGAUAUGAGGUUCGGCAGGGUUGCCCAGAGUUUUUAAGUCUGAUUGUGAAAAACUUCAAGAAUAGAGAUGGCACAACAUCUUUGGCAACCUAUUGGAAUGUUUGACUGACCUGGUGGAGAAAAAGGCUGUGCUCCUGCUGUAAAUCCGGAGUUGUGACUUCUUUGCUGUCAGGACACGCUGCUGGCUAAUGUUCUGCAUGUUGUCUACAAAAUCUCUAUAUCCUUUUCAGUGAAUCUCCAUGCUCCUCAGCAUGUCAGUCUCUAGCCUGUAUCCCUGCAAACAAUGAUGUCUUUCUAGAUUUUUUCACUUCUACAAAAGAAGUAGCCCAAGGGGAUUUAAAAGCAGAAAAAGCAAAGUCACUGCCGCUUCCAGACUCAGAGAGGGGCAGCAGAAAGCACAGGGUGUCAUGUUUGCAGGAAGUAUAGAG